AGGUGAGCCCUUACUCUGCCUACCUUCACAACGCCAUCCUGCUCUAUGCUGAGACCGUGAAGCAGGUGGUAAAGGCUGGAGGCGACUUCCAGGACGGGUGGCAGCUGGUCAGCGCUCUGAAGGGUUCCAGUCAGACCACAGUGCAGGACCCACAGGGAAUUUCUCCAAUAUGACCUGGCCCCAUGGCUCCCUUCCUGAAGACAGACCUGGCUGUGGAUUUUAUAAUGAGCUCUGUGAAACUCAGUCUGCUUUUACGGGCGUGACUGCUGUGCUUCUCACAUUGAUGAUCCUCAUUCCUGUCUUGGGAGCUGCCAUCAUAGGUCUGAUUUUAAGGAUGCAGAGGCAAAACAAAGACGUCUGGUGGCAAAUCAAUUUUGAUGAUAUCACCAUUCUUCCCCAGAACAAGGGACUUGACCAUUAACCACAGGCCAAGCAUCAUACAAGCCAUCCCAGAGAGGCACACCUGUGUC
rnacentral:sRNA from 1 species